AAGUCGUAACAAGGUUUCCGUAGGUGAACCUGCGGAAGGAUCAUUGACAAAUCUAAACCGUUGCGUGGAAGCUGCUUUAACCGGUGGCUUUCACGUUAACAAAUUCUAACCUGUGAAUCGCAGCACGCAAGUGUUGUUUGUGCUGUGUACGGUAGCGAGAAAUCUCUAUUGUGCACAUGCAUAUAAAUUAACGUAACAAAUGUCUUGAAGAAACAAACUAAAAAAUACAACUUUUAGCAAUGGAUCUCUUGGCUUCU
rnacentral:misc_RNA from 1 species